rnacentral:rRNA from 2 species
UAAAGCGAGCGCAGGCGGUUUUUUAAGUCUGAUGUGAAAGCCUUUCGGCUUAACCCGGAGAAGUGCAUCGGAAACUGGGAGACUUGAGUGCAGAAGAGGACAGUGGAACUCCAUGUGUAGCGGUGGAAUGCGUAGAUAUAUGGAAGAACACCAGUGGCGAAGGCGGCUGUCUAGUCUGUAACUGACGCUGAGGCUCGAAAGCAUGGGUAGCGAACAGGAUUAGAUACCCUGGUAGUCCAUGCCGUAAACGAUGAGUGCUAAGUGUUGGAGGGUUUCCGCCCUUCAGUGCUGCAGCUAACGCAUUAAGCACUCCGCCUGGGGAGUACGACCGCAAGGUUGAAACUCAAAGGAAUUGACGGGGGCCCGCACAAGCGGUGGAGCAUGUGGUUUAAUUCGAAGCUACGCGAAGAACCUUACCAGGUCUUGACAUCUUCUGCCAAUCUUAGAGAUAAGACGUUCCCUUCGGGGACAGAAUGACAGGUGGUGCAUGGUUGUCGUCAGCUCGUGUCGUGAGAUGUUGGGUUAAGUCCCGCAACGAGCGCAACCCUUAUUAUCAGUUGCCAGCAUUCAGUUGGGCACUCUGGUGAGACUGCCGGUGACAAACCGGAGGAAGGUGGGGAUGACGUCAAAUCAUCAUGCCCCUUAUGACCUGGGCUACACACGUGCUACAAUGGACGGUACAACGAGUUGCGAAGUCGUGAGGCUAAGCUAAUCUCUUAAAGCCGUUCUCAGUUCGGAUUGUAGGCUGCAACUCGCCUACAUGAAGUUGGAAUCGCUAGUAAUCGCGGAUCAGCAUGCCGCGGUGAAUACGUUCCCGGGCCUUGUACACACCGCCCGUCACACCAUGAGAGUUUGUAACACCCAAAGCCGGUGAGAUAACCUUC